UACGUAGGGUGCAAGCGUUAAUCGGAAUUACUGGGCGUAAAGCGUGCGCAGGCGGUUUUGUAAGUCAGAUGUGAAAUCCCCGGGCUUAACCUGGGAACUGCGUUUGAAACUACAAGGCUAGAGUGUGGCAGAGGGGGGUGGAAUUCCACGUGUAGCAGUGAAAUGCGUAGAGGAUGUGGAGGAACACCGAUGGCGAAGGCAGCCCCCUGGGUUAACACUGACGCUCAGGCACGAAAGCGUGGGGAGCAAACAGG
rnacentral:rRNA from 1 species